rnacentral:rRNA from 1 species
CCUAUGGGGUGCAGCAGGCGAGAAAACUUUGCAAUGUGCGAAAGCACGACAAGGUUAAUCCGAGUGGUUUGUGCUAAACGAACCUUUUGUCGGUCCUAGAAACACCGAUGAAUAAGGGGUGGGCAAGUUCUGGUGUCAGCCGCCGCGGUAAAACCAGCACCUCAAGUGGUCAGGAUGAUUAUUGGGCCUAAAGCAUCCGUAGCCGGCUCUGUAAGUUUUCGGUUAAAUCUGUACGCUCAACGUACAGGCUGCCGGGAAUACUGCAGAGCUAGGGAGUGGGAGAGGUAGACGGUACUCGGUAGGAAGGGGUAAAAUCCUUUGAUCUAUUGAUGACCACCUGUGGCGAAGGCGGUCUACCAGAACACGUCCGACGGUGAGGGAUGAAAGCUGGGGGAGCAAACCGGAUUAGAUACCCGGGUAGUCCCAGCUGUAAACUAUGCAAACUCAGUGAUGCAUUGGCUUGUGGCCAAUGCAGUGCUGCAGGGAAGCCGUUAAGUUUGCCGCCUGGGAAGUACGUACGCAAGUAUGAAACUUAAAGGAAUUGGCGGGGGAGCACCACAAGGGGUGAAGCCUGCGGUUCAAUUGGAGUCAACGCCAGAAAUCUUACCCGGAGAGACAGCAGAAUGAAGGUCAAGCUGAAGACUUUACCAGACAAGCUGAGAGGUAGUGCAUGGCC